UAGUCCACGCCGUAAACGAUGGAUACUAGCUGUCCGAGGCCUUGAGUCUUGGGCGGCCAAGCGAAAGUGAUAAGUAUCCCACCUGGGGAGUACGUUCGCAAGAAUGAAACUCAAAGGAAUUGACGGGGGGCCCGCACAAGCGGUGGAGCAUGUGGUUUAAUUCGAUGAUACGCGAGGAACCUUACCAGGGCUUAAAUGCAUAUUGACAGGGGUAGAGAUACCUUUUCCUUCGGGCAAUUUGCAAGGUGCUGCAUGGUUGUCGUCAGCUCGUGCCGUGAGGUGUCAGGUUAAGUCCUAUAACGAGCGCAACCCCUGCCGUUAGUUGCCAGCAUGUAAAGAUGGGGACUCUAACGGGACUGCCGGUGCAAACCGCGAGGAAGGUGGGGAUGACGUCAAAUCAUCACGGGCCCUUACGUCCUGGGGCCACACACGUGCUACAAUGGUAGGUACAGAGAGCAGCCAUGUCGCAAGGCAGAGCGAAUCUAACAAAACCU
rnacentral:rRNA from 1 species